rnacentral:rRNA from 1 species
UACGGAGGGUGCAAGCGUUAUCCGGAAUCACUGGGUUUAAAGGGUGCGUAGGUGGAUAAAUAAGUCAGAGGUGAAAGACUUGAGCUUAACUGAAGAAUUGCCUUUGAAACUGUUUAUCUUGAAUGAGGUUGAGGUUAGCGGAAUGUGACAUGUAGCGGUGAAAUGCAUAGAUAUGUCAUAGAACACCAAUUGCGAAGGCAGCUAGCUAGGCCUGUAUUGACACUGAGGCACGAAAGCAUGGGGAGCGAACAGG